UACAGAGGAUUUCUCAUUUCCCCCUUUUAGCAGAAAGCUCUUCCUUGCAAGCUCCUGUUCUGCUUCCCGAGCAUUCCUCCAGAACGAUGUCCGCCGCCGCCAGGUCCUUCAUUCGGUCCGCUGCAUCCCGAAACAUUAGGAAGUUAGAUUUGGCUACGGGCGCUAGAGUAAGUCGAUCGACAUGUUCGCCGUUUUCGACCCUAAAGCAGAAGUCGCUGUCUAAACGCAUCUUCAGGUUACCUGUGGAGUUGAGCUGUUGUGUGGAAAUGAUGCUCCCAUAUCACACUGCCACUGCUUCCGCAUUGCUCACCUCCAUGCUCUCCGUAUCUCACCAAUCGUAUGGUUGGAACCCUGAAGGAUUGGAAAGUUACAAAAUGAUGGCUGAUUGUUGUUUGCGGGUGAGAUAUUCUUGCGACUACAUUUCAUGGAUUUCGCUGAACUUUGCCAGGCCUACUGGGAGGGAUAUCGUUGUUCCCUUGUUUUGAAGUGAAGUUUCUGAAAACUAAAAUGCACAAGCAUCCAGAGCAUGCUAUAAAGCUGGAAAUGAGUGUUCUAUUAUUAAAAUUUUCUUUUGGCCAUAAUUACUACAUACAGUUGAAAUGUUUCUUGACUGCAAAUUAAAUGAUACAUUCCUCUCCGUUCUUGUGAAUAUGUUUGCCGGGCGAAUACACAACUGAUUUGGAUGAUAUGCUAGUUGCAAGGCUCAAGACCUGUUUCUCGCCUAGGGUUUUUGAAUGGAGAUUUCUGGGAGCAAGGAGCCCGCCGCCUGUAGAUGUUUUUUCAUUGGGACUGACCAUGGCUGUUGAUGUAAAUAAUCACAGAGAUACGAAGGAAACAAUUUUUUUUUCCCUUUUCAGAAUGUAAUAUUCGUAUGAGGAGUCUUGUUGAUAUGAUAAACUAGUGUCCAAUUUCAUAUA